rnacentral:ncRNA from 2 species
AUCUUUGCAUAUGCAAUAGGUUCAUUACUAUCAUGAUUAAAAAGGGAAAGCGGUGUAAUUCCGCUACUGUCCCGCAGCUGUAAGUUGUCUCUCAUUGGUAAGCUGAUACCACUGGUGAAUAUAAAACCGGGAAGGUGCUUACCUACAUUGGAUAACGAGUCAGAAGACCUGCCAUUGCAAGUCAUUGCAU